ACAUGAAGAAAUAUUAUAACGGGUGAAAAAUAGAUUUAAGAAAACUUUCUACUGAGUAACAAGUCAUAAUUUGAAAUAUUUAUAUUCAAUUUCAUACAUAUUAUAUUGAAAAUUUAUAAUCUUAUAUACUACAAUAAUUAAUAACAUAUUAGAUUUUUUUAUGUGUAUGAUGUGAUUCAAUUUUUAAUAUAAGCUGGAAAAUCCUAGAAUUGACGGUUUACAUCAAUAUUAAUACAAAAUGGUAUACUACAGUUGAAACUCUUAAAUUAACAAUCAAACUACAAGUGUAUAAUCUUAAACAUUAAACAAUAUAGAUAAUAUCAACAAAACAUAUACAACUCACAGUUUACUUUACAUUUAAAAUAAAAUAAAA
rnacentral:sRNA from 1 species